UCAGCUCAGCAGGCUACCGAGACACUCCGAGUCAUGCAAAGCACUUCAGGCUGGCUGCUGGUGGCUGUGGUCGCGGGCCUGAUGGUGGGCAGUCACGCUCGACGUGAGUACUGUCCCAGCAGCAUGCGUCUGGCUCUUGGUUUGCCCGAUCAUCGAAACCUAACUAUCCACAUGCUGGCCGACGAGGCUGUCAGGCUCUCUAAAAGUUGUCAAGCGGUAGACAAGAUCAAUGAGAAGAGUUGCUUUAACAAGACGAAGCUCAGUGACGUGUGCUUCCCUCUCCGCUCCGUCCAGUGGUGAGGAUGAACUCUCCGCUUGCGCCCUCUACGAGGCAAUGGGCAUCUCUGAGAGCUGGCUGGACAGUGUGGGCCACAGAGAGUUGGUGUGCAGGAUGGAGAGGGCGCGCUCUCGCUUCAAAGAUCACCUCAUUCGCAGCGUGUUCUGUAAGUCUCUUAACGUGGCGGUCAUUAAAGUUUACACUACUUUAGAAGAAAAGUGCCUUAUGCUGGAAGUCCUGAACAAACUCACUGAGUAUCUUUACGAGUAUCUGGGAAUCCCGAACCCCUCACGCGUGUCUCACACAUCUGUGCCUUGAGAGGCUGCUUUGGCGUAGAAGUGUGGUUGUUCUGAGCCAGAACAUACCGCUUAUACAAAUGUCCAUGACCGUCUGACAGAAUUGCUCUAUUAGUUUGUGACGAUAGUCAUUCUUUUGCAAGAUCAAAGUAUUAACCAGCUGUGCCUCUUAUGUGCUGUGAUUCGAAUUAAAUCUUUCUUUAGAAUUUAGAGUGUGAGUGUAAUUCUUUCUGUAGAAUCUAGAGUGUGAGUGUAAUUCUCUGAUGUGAGACAAAUCCUACUGUGUCUUCUUUUUGAUGUAUUUUGAUGAUCAUACAGUGGAUUAACAUGUCAAUAA
ensembl:lncRNA